UUGAAGAUGAGUAUGGGGGCUGGGUUAUUUGAAGGAUUGUGUAUAGUUCUUAGCCCUCUGUCUUUUAACUUAUCCCCAUAUUAAGCUUGGGCUACAUACCCUGCAACAGGCACAAAAUAAGCAAUGAAAGUUAUCUUAUGUGGAUGCAGGAGAGACUUCAAAGAAUAUGCUGAUGUUUGCUUUAGAGAGUUUGGCGAUAGGGUUUUGUAAGGAUAAUAAUAAAUAGGAAGCACAAGACGCUUAUUGGCUUAAAGAACAGGGAAAAAAGGUAAAGAAAUUCAUGUGAAAUGGAUGGAAUGUAAGGAUAAUAAUAAAUAGGAAACACAAGAAGCUUAUUGGGGUAAAGAAAAGGUAAAAAAGAAGAAGGAAAAGAACAGUGUGUGAGAACCUCAGCUUAUAUUUCGGGUCUGAUUCCUGUUGCAUGUUUGUCGAUGCCUUGGUGUUUGGAGACCACCCUGACAUGGUGAAGAAGAGAGCCGGCACAAGAAUCCCAGCCUUCACUAAACAGGAAUCCAAACAAGUCAAGGGUAUCUUUGACUUCAUAGGCAUAAACCAUUACAACACAGUACCAUCCAUCAAGAACAACCCUGAGAAGCUGAAAAUAAUGAAGAUGUGGGCGUAGAUACGAUAUGUAUAUUCCCUUUUUUCACCUAAACCUGGUUCUCAAGCACUUCAACUUAACUAUCUCACCUUUUACGAACUGACCUGGAUGAGCCGAGGUUCAAUGUAGAAAAAUGAGUCAUUGCAGUCAGCUUAGUGUAUUCCUCUUCAAAUUCAAUGAACUGACCAUAGAAAUUCUGUAUUUCUCUCCUACCUCCCUUAAUUUCCCUCUCUAUAAAGUGGGGAUCAUUAUUAACUGGUUGCUUAGUGUGAGGAAACAGAAUUCAGAUUGGCAGAUUGAUAUGCUAUAUUUCAGGGUUUUCUGUAAUUUUAGUAAUAGAAUUAAAAUAGGAAAGAUAAUACAAAGCUUGAGGGAGUGUAAGUAGGGGUGACAAGGUUUAAUAUGGUUGACCAACACGACUUAGUCCAAUUUUUUGUAGCCUGAGGAGUAGAAUUAAGGCAAAGACAUGAACAACAGCCAAAAUGAAGAUACAAGCAACACAUAGAGAGAGAUGCCUAGAGGGAGAAACACUAAGUCAUAUCAAUGUAACACCUGCAACCAAUGCUGGUUUGGCAAUAAGAAAUACAGAAGAACAAAACUCUUCUCCACCUCAGUUCUCUACAACUUAAAAGAACACACAAGAUUAUUCAAUUCAAUACAUUUGCAUUAUUAUUAUUUUUUAUUUUAAUUCCAUUACUAAAAUUACAGAAAAACCCUAAAAAAUUACCAGACAUUCUGAUUCUCACAUUAGGCAACCAAACUAGGAUCCCCACUUUCUAGAACGAGAAAAAAAGGAAGUAGAAGAGGAAUACAAACUUUGUAGGGUCAGUCGAUGUCCAUGUUACCACCUUGGCCUUGGUCUUGGCUCCGCUGAUUCGCAAACUGAAAACCAACCCUGCUCACGGAUUCUUGAGUCAAUGCAUGACAUAAGACUACGUUUGAUUCUCAGAAAAUUUAAAGUCAGAAACAGAAUCUUGAUUUAGGAAAAUACAAAAAGUCUAAUAUCACUUUCAAGAACUAAUAUUCUUUCGAAGUAACAAGAAACUAUGUGAUGUCAUGUUUCAAAAGGCAUCCCACCUCAAAAACAAUACACGAAACAGAAAUAAAUGACAUAAACUAUGAACUCCUGGUAAUGUUCUUGAAUUAUUCCAAGAAAUAAAGCCUGAAUGACCCUCAAGAAUCUAAAGAUUUUAGACGCAAGGGCAUUCUUUCUUGGAAAUUUUAAGACGGUACAAUGAGUAGAGAAGUAGAGCUUACUCAGAGAGAAUUCUGGUGAUAAGACAAUGAGAGCUUGGCAUACUCGACAGAAGAAGGAAUUGGCUCCAAGAUUUUGAUGGAAUUCAAGAAGAGACAUUUCAAGCUUCAACUUCCAAAGAAAGUCGAAAAGCUAUGGAAUUCAAGGUUGAAGAGGAGAGAUCGCAGGUAAAUAUGGUGGAAAGAGAAUGGAGAGUUGGAAUUGAAGAAAGUGUAAAGAGUAGUUGAAUGGGAUUUUAAAGCAAGGAGGUCUCUUGGAGCUUUAUUUUUUCCUUGUC
rnacentral:lncRNA from 1 species